AUUGAACGCUGGCGGCAGGCCUAACACAUGCAAGUCGAGCGGACGAAGGGAGCUUGCUCCUGGAUUCAGCGGCGGACGGGUGAGUAAUGCCUAGGAAUCUGCCUGGUAGUGGGGGAUAACGUCCGGAAACGGGCGCUAAUACCGCAUACGUCCUGAGGGAGAAAGUGGGGGAUCUUCGGACCUCACGCUAUCAGAUGAGCCUAGGUCGGAUUAGCUAGUUGGUGGGGUAAAGGCCUACCAAGGCGACGAUCCGUAACUGGUCUGAGAGGAAGAUCAGUCACACUGGAACUGAGACACGGUCCAGACUCCUACGGGAGGCAGCAGUGGGGAAUAUUGGACAAUGGGCGAAAGCCUGAUCCAGCCAUGCCGCGUGUGUGAAGAAGGUCUUCGGAUUGUAAAGCACUUUAAGUUGGGAGGAAGGGCAGUAAGUUAAUACCUUGCUGUUUUGACGUUACCAACAGAAUAAGCACCGGCUAACUUCGUG
rnacentral:rRNA from 1 species